rnacentral:rRNA from 1 species
CGUAGGUGGCAAGCGUUGUCCGAAUUUUAUUGGGCGUAAAGCGAGCGCAGGCGGAAGAAUAAGUCUGAUGUGAAAGCCCUCGGCUUAACCGAGGAACUGCAUCGGAAACUAGUUUUUUCUUUGAGUGCAGAAGAGGAGAGUGGAACUCCAUGUGUAGCGGUGGAAUGCGUAGAUAUAUGGAAGAACACCAGUGGCGAAGGCGGCUCUCUGGUCUGCAACUGACGCUGAGGCUCGAAAGCAUGGGUAGCGAACAGGAUU